GAGUUUGAUCCUGGCUCAGGAUGAACGCUAGCGGCAGGCUUAAUACAUGCAAGUCGAGGGGCAGCGCAGUGUAGCAAUACAUGGGCGGCGACCGGCAAACGGGUGCGGAACACGUACGCAACCUUCCUUUAACUGGGAGAUAGCCCACCGAAAGGUGGAUUAAUAUCCCAUAGUAUAUUUGAAUGGCAUCAUUUGAAUAUUAAAGCUCCGGCGGUUAAAGAUGGGCGUGCGUCUGAUUAGGUAGUUGGCGGGGUAACGGCCCACCAAGCCGACGAUCAGUAGCUGAUGUGAGAGCAUGAUCAGCCACACGGGCACUGAGACACGGGCCCGACUCCUACGGGAGGCAGCAGUAAGGAAUAUUGGUCAAUGGACGCAAGUCUGAACCAGCCAUGCCGCGUGGAGGAUGAAGGUCCUCUGGAUUGUAAACUUCUUUUCUUUGGGACGAAACCCCUGUUUCUACGGGGACUGACGGUACCAGAGGAAUAAGCACCGGCUAACUCCGUGCCAGCAGCCGCGGUAAUACGGAGGGUGCAAGCGUUAUCCGGAUUCACUGGGUUUAAAGGGAGCGUAGGUGGACUUUUAAGUCAGUGGUGAAAUCUCUGGGCUUAACCCGGAAACUGCCAUUGAUACUAUUAGUCUUGAAUUCUCUGGAGGUAAGCGGAAUAUGUCAUGUAGCGGUGAAAUGCUUAGAUAUGACAUAGAACACCCAUUGCGAAGGCAGCUUACUACGGAGACAUUGACACUGAGGCUCGAAAGCGCGGGGAUCAAACAGGAUUAGAUACCCUGGUAGUCCACGCCCU
rnacentral:rRNA from 1 species